UACGUAGGGAGCGAGCGUUGUCCGGAUUCAUUGGGCGUAAAGAGCUCGUAGGCGGCUUGGUAAGUCGGAUGUGAAACCUCCAGGCUCAACCUGGAGUCGCCAUCCGAUACUGCCAUGGCUAGAGUCCGGUAGGGGCCCACGGAAUUCCUGGUGUAGCGGUGAAAUGCGCAGAUAUCAGGAGGAACACCGAUGGCGAAGGCAGUGGGCUGGGCCGGCACUGACGCUGAUGCACGAAAGCUAGGGGAGCAAACAGG
rnacentral:rRNA from 1 species